GCGCGGCUCUGCGGGGCGGGCGCGCCCGCAAUCCACGCCCCGCCGCCCCUCCGAUCGCGAGCCGCGGGAGGGGAGCGCGGCGCACCCCAACCCCCCCCCCCCAGCCACCUCGGGGACCUGGAGGGAGGGGCGGCCCCACCCACUCUGUCCUCCCGGAUAUACACCCGCCGGGCCCGGCCCCGCCACGCACUCCCUGCCGGUCUUCAGCACCCGUGCUGGGCCAGGCGCACGGUCGCGGAGCCUGGAAAAGAGCCUCGUGGGCAAAGUCCAGAGCGGGAGGCCGUGCGGGUGGUCCUGAGCGAGGGGAGGGGAGCACAGGUGAUUCUCGCAGCCUAAAGAAAGAGAGUUCUGGAAAGAAGCUGCGGCCACAUCUUGAUGUUUCUUUUUGGAUUAAGCCUAACAUUCAAACCCAUUUCAAAUGGGAUAAAACUACUGAAGAAAGAAAAGAAGAUUGCCUGAAGCACAAAGCCCAAAAGUAGUACUCGAGAGAGCCCGCUCUCAACUCCAGAGAGCUGAGGACCAGCAAACACACACGCAAACAGGAAACUUGCCAAGCACCUGUGGACAAGGUAGAAAGGCCGAGUUGAUGUGAACGCCAUCCCGAAGGCUCUGAAUGGGCAGAGGGGCUUUUACCCCUCCCGCUGCAAGGCUCCCCCUCAGCACGGGACACGGGCGGGGAGAGGAAAUGCCCGUGGAGAUGGAUCGUGAUGCGAAGGUACCGCCUUCUUCCUCCUCUGUGGAGCUAAGCUUUGGAGGAAUGUAUCAACGGGCUUCUGAGUUCUCAUUUAACAAGACUCCUGAGCACCCGCUAUGCACCAGCUACCAAGAGGACAAGAGAAGAAAACACGGGGCCAGCUGCCGAGGACCUCACAGCCUUGCAGAGCUGACAGAUAGACGAUUAAUUGAAAGUGUACGAUGAACCCCUAGAACAACGAGGGUAUAUUGGAGAUGAAAAACAAGAGCCAGUUUUUUUAACAUUUGUUUUGGGUAGCUCUGCAACGGUUAAUUGAGUGUUCAGGCCAUAAUAUUAUUCAUCAAAACAACCAUCAUUUCCAUUGUGUAGAAUUCUAAUGGACAUUCCUGUGCUGUUCCCCAUCACCUAUUAUUUUUUUACUCACAUUUCCCAUCAUUAAAUUAAGUGAUGUGUCUAACCCACCAACUUUAUUUGGUUGACUGUUCUUUUUGAGU
ensembl:lincRNA